UCGACGGAUUCUGCGCAGCUCCAUCACUCCCUGACAGGCUGCAGUAGCCGUCACGACUCUGCUCCACUUCCCGCGACGGAUGCCACGCAGUCUCUCCACCCUUUGGCAAGUGGCAACAACGGACGCCGCUCCACUACCUACAACAGGCUCCACGUGGCAGGCCAUAGUAAUGGCCACGGUCCCGCUCCACUACUCCUCGUAACAGACCCCUCCUGGCCCCGAACGACGCACUGACAGGCAGUUACAAACGUCGCCAUCAAUCCAUUGCCCCCUCCACCUAUAAAAGGGGGAC
rnacentral:lncRNA from 1 species